GAUGAACGCUGGCGGCGUGCCUAAUACAUGCAAGUCGAGCGAACAGAUGAGGAGUUUGCUCCUCUGACGUUAGCGGCGGACGGGUGAGUAACACGUGGAUAACCUAACUAUAAGACUGGGAUAACUAUGGGAAACCGGCGCUAAUAGCGGAUAAUAUAUUGACACGCAUGGUUCAAUAGUGAAAGACGGUUUUGCUGUAACUUAUAGAUGGCUACGCGCACCAUUAGCAAGUUGGUAAGGUAAAGGCUUAACAAGGCGGCGAUGGUUACACGACCUGAGAGAGUGGUCCGCCACCCUGGAACUGAGACACAGUCCAGACUCCUGCGGGAGGCAGCGGUAGGGAAUCUUCCGCGAUGGGCGAGAGCCGGACGGAGCGACGCCGCGUAAGUGAUGAAGGUCUUCUGAUCGGAAAACUCUGUUAGUAGGAGGAAACAAAUGUUUUUGUAACGAUGCACGUCUUGACGGUACCUGAUCAAGAAGCCACGGCUAACUACGUG
rnacentral:rRNA from 1 species